GGGAUCGACUAGCCAUGCGAGUCGAGAGGGUCCGGCCCUCGGCAGACUGCUCAGUAACACGUGGAUAACCUAACCUUAGGUGGAAGAUAACCUCGGGAAACUGAGAAUAAUAUUCCAUAGAUCUAGGAUGCUGGAAUGCAUCUAGAUUGAAAGUUCCGACGCCUAAGGAUGGGUCUGCGGACUAUCAGGUUGUAGUCAGGGUAAAGACCUGACUAGCCUACGACGGAUAUGGGUUGUGAGAGCAAUAGCCCAGAGACGAUAUCUGAGACACGAUAUCGGGCCCUACGGGGCGCAGCAGGCGCGAAAUCUUCACAAUGUGCGAAAGCACGAUGAGGGGAUCCCAAGUGCUGGCACGUAAGUGCCAGCUGUUUCUUAGUCUAAAAAACUGAGAGAGUAAGGGCUGGGUAAGACGGGUGCCAGCCGCCGCGGUAAUACCUGCAGCUCAAGUGGUGGCCGCUAUUAUUGGGCCUAAAACGUCCGUAGCCUGUUUAGUAAAUGCUUGGGUAAAUUGUGUAGCUUAACUAUACGAAUACCGGGUAGACUGCUAAACUUGGGACCGGGAGAGGCUAGAGGUACUCCUGGGGUAGAGGUGAAAUUCUGUAAUCCUAGGGGGACCACCAGUGGCGAAGGCGUCUAGCUAGAACGGGUCUGACGGUGAGGGACGAAGCCCUGGGGCGCAAACCGGAUUAGAUACCCGGGUAGUCCAGGGUGUAA
rnacentral:rRNA from 1 species